ACGUGAAACCUUGUGGGAAGCAGGGAGGACCACCUCCCAAGGCUAAAUACUACCUGAUGACCGAUAGUGAAGCAGUACCGUGAGGGAAAGGUGAAAAGAACCCCGGGAGGGGAGUGAAAUAGAACCUGAAACCGUGUGCCUACAACCGCUCAGAGCCCCUUAUGAGGGUGAUGAGGUGCUUUUUGUAGAACGAGCCAACGAGUUACGGUAUGUAGCAAGGUUAAGUACUUAAGGUACGGAGCCGAAGGGAAACCGAGUCUGAAUAGGGCGACUAGUUGCAUGCCGUAGACCCGAAACCGGGUGACCUAUCCAUGGCCAGGUUGAAGCGAGGGUAAAACCUCGUGGAGGACCGAACCACGUUGCUGUUGAAAAAGCAUGGGAUGAGCUGUGGAUAGCGGAGAAAUUCCAAUCGAACCCGGAGAUAGCUGGUUCUCUCCGAAAUAGCUUUAGGGCUAGCGUCGAGUAUGAGUAGUGGAGGUAGAGCACUGAAUGGGCUAGGGGGCAUAGCGCUUACCGAACCUUAUCAAACUCCGAAUGCCACAUACUUUGAGCUCGGCAGUCAGACUACGAAUGAUAAGAUCCGUGGUCAAAAGGGAAACAGCCCAGAUCGUCAGCUAAGGUCCCAAAGUGUAAGUUAAGUGGGAAAGGAUGUGAGAUUUCUAAGACAACUAGGAUGUUGGCUUAGAAGCAGCCAUUCAUUAAAAGAGUGCGUAAUAGCUCACUAGUCGAGAGAUCUUGCGCCGAAAAUGUAACGGGGCUAAACUUACCACCGAAGCUACGGGCUUGAACUUAGUUCAAGCGGUAGGAGAGCGUCGUAACCGGGCUGAAGUCGUACCGUAAGGAGCGGUGGACUGGUUACGAGUGAGAAUGUUGGCAUCAGUAGCGAGAUGUGGGUGAGAAUCCCACAGGCCGAAAACCUAAGGUUUCCUCAGGAAGGUUCGUCCGCUGAGGGUUAGUCGGGACCUAAGCCGAGGCCGAAAGGCGUAGGUGAUGGACAACUGGUUGAUAUUCCAGUACCACUACCAUCGUUAUUAUCGAUGGCGUGACGCAGGAGGAUAGUGUGUGCUAGCUAUUGGAUGCU
rnacentral:rRNA from 1 species